AAAAAAAAAAAAAAAGUUUCAUUCCCUUUUCUAGACAAACAGACGUUUUUACAUUUGAUUAAAACAUACAUUUUCUCAGAUGAUGAAAGGCCCCCCAACAAUUUGAUUAAAGGAGAUGAAACUACUUUAUUUCUCAUGUUUUCUCAGCAACCAAACAGAGCGUAAAAGACAUACAAUAGAAGCACGAUAAUAAGCACAUUACAUAAUUACCAGAUGACGAAAUAUGCAGGAGUUUAA
rnacentral:misc_RNA from 1 species